rnacentral:rRNA from 1 species
GACGAACGCUGGCGGCGUGCUUAACACAUGCAAGUCGAGCGAGGUCCAACCUGCCGCAAGGCAGGGGAAGAUCUAGCGGCGAACGGGUGAGUAACACGUGAGCAACCUGCCCCGAAGACCGGGAUAACACCGGGAAACCGGUGCUAAUACCGGAUACCCUCAGAGAGUCGCAUGGCUCACUGAGGAAAUGGAUUCCGCUUCGGGAGGGGCUCGCGGCCUAUCAGCUUGUUGGUGGGGUAACGGCCCACCAAGGCGACGACGGGUAGCUGGUCUGAGA